rnacentral:misc_RNA from 1 species
AAGUCGUAACAAGGUUUCCGUAGGUGAACCUGCGGAAGGAUCAUUACAACGUAUCCAACGUUCACCAACCGCGAACUUGUUUUUUCGUUUGACCACCUCUUUCACCCCUUUUUUGCGAGUUGCUUUUAUGCUGGUCGCGUGCUCGAAAGAGCCGCGCGACACGUUUCACCUAGUUGAACGUAAAAUACAACUCUUAGCAAUGGAUAUCUAGGUUCUC